rnacentral:rRNA from 1 species
CGUAGGCGGAUAGUUUAGUCAGAGGUGAAAGCCCAGGGCUCAACCUUGGAAUUGCCUUUGAUACUGGCUAUCUUGAGUUCGGGAGAGGUGAGUGGAAUGCCGAGUGUAGAGGUGAAAUUCGUAGAUAUUCGGCGGAACACCAGUGGCGAAGGCGACUCACUGGCCCGAUACUGACGCUGAGGCGCGAAAGCGUGGGAGCAAACA